rnacentral:rRNA from 1 species
UCCCCUACGGGACGCAGCAGUGAGGAAUAUUGGUCAAUGGGAGAGAUCCUGAACCAGCCAAGCCGCGUGAGGGAAGACGGCCCUAUGGGUUGUAAACCUCUUUUGUCGGGGAGCAAAGCGAGUCACGUGUGACUCAUUGAGAGUACCCGAAGAAAAAGCAUCGGCUAACUCCGUGCCAGCAGCCGCGGUAAUACGGAGGAUGCGAGCGUUAUCCGGAUUUAUUGGGUUUAAAGGGUGCGCAGGCGGAGGUGCAAGUCAGCGGUCAAAUUGCGGGGCUCAACCCCGUACUGCCGUUGAAACUGCAU